rnacentral:rRNA from 1 species
UACGGAGGGUGCAAGCGUUGCUCGGAAUUAUUGGGCGUAAAGGGUAGGUAGGUGGUCUCAUUUGUCUGAGGUGAAAGCCUUGAGCUUAACUCAAGAAGUGCCUUAGAAACGGUGAGACUAGAGUCCUGGAGAGGGUCGUGGAAUUCCCGGUGUAGCGGUGAAAUGCGUAGAGAUCGGGAGGAGCACCAGUGGCGAAGGCGACUUCCUGGCCUGUUCUUGACGCUGAGGCGCGAAAGCUAGGGGAGCAAACGGG